rnacentral:rRNA from 1 species
AGAGUUGAUCAUGGCUCAGAUUGAACGCUGGCGGCAGGCCUAACACAUGCAAGUCGAGCGGUAGCACAGGGAGCUUGCUCCUGGGUGACGAGCGGCGGACGGGUGAGUAAUGUCUGGGAAACUGCCUGAUGGAGGGGGAUAACUACUGGAAACGGUAGCUAAUACCGCAUAAUGUCGCAAGACCAAAGAGGGGGACCUUCGGGCCUCUUGCCAUCGGAUGUGCCCAGAUGGGAUUAGCUUGUUGGUGAGGUAACGGCUCACCAAGGCGACGAUCCCUAGCUGGUCUGAGAGGAUGACCAGCCACACUGGAACUGAGACACGGUCCAGACUCCUACGGGAGGCAGCAGUGGGGAUAUUGCACAAUGGGCGCAAGCCUGAUGCAGCCAUGCCGCGUGUAUGAAGAAGGCCUUCGGGUUGUAAAGUACUUUCAGCGGGGAGGAAGGGAGUGAGGUUAAUAACCUUAUUCAUUGACGUUACCCGCAGAAGAAGCACCGGCUAACUCCGUGCCAGCAGCCGCGGUAAUAC